ACAUUCAACAUUUAGCUUCAGAUUCGAAAUUUUUCCCAAGCUCAAAUUUGAUAUUUUAUCUCAAAAUUAACUCAUCCUUGUGAUUUUCGAGCUAUCCAAACCCCUCAACACCUUUCAAUUUUAAAGAAAAAUAAUUAAAUACUCAUCAAUUUCGUUUUUAUUCUUCUCACGUUCAGCUUUGAAUUAGUUCCCCAACUUGUUGUUUUCUUCAAAUUGAGUACCAAUUCAUUUGAGAGCCUCCACAAGCAUGGACAAGGGCAAAUUAAAGCUUACUUCAACAUGGUAGUUGAAACAAUGGUUGCUAAGGUGAGUGGCGUGAUAUACUGCAUUUAAACUCCAGUAUGCAGGCUAAGGUAACAUAUGCAAAACCCCUACUUAGUUAAUAUGCGAACCUUGAUUUUUCUUGGUGCAAACCAUUGCAAUUUUGUUUGAGUGUAGGGUAUGCAUGUUGUGUAAUUUUAAUGAGCCAAAUGCAUGAAUUUAAAACAAGCAUGUGGUUAUAGGAAUAAAAUAGACAGGCUGCAGCUAUAAACCAUUUACUUAACGUGAUAAUUGUAUUUGAAUUGUGCAUUUAAUUAUUGCGUGUGAGCAUAAUAUUAAAGGUGAGCUAACCUACUAAAUAGGUAUGUGUAUAUAUGUAAUAUAUAUGGGCUAUAUUAUAUAAUACAUAUGUGUAGGUUUUGUUAUAUAUAUAUGUGUGGUUCUUGAUUAUAUAUAGGUUUUGUUAUAUAUAUGUGUGUGGUUCUUGAUUAUAUAUAUAAUAUAUAUACAUAUUUGGGUCAUGUUUUAUAUAAUAUAUAUGUAUAUGGGUUUUGUAAUGUUUACCAACUAAUAAGUUUUUUUAAAAUAAAAUAACUUCACAUGUUUUGAAUAAUAAAAAGAGGAUGUUGACACUAUUAUUUUUAAAAAGAAUUUUUAUAAUAAUUUUGUAUAAUCAAAGUGAAUUUAGAUAAAUAGAGUUUCACACGCAAAUGCACUUGAACCUCCUUUUAUAAAAUUUCAUUUUAGGAUUUUUAUUUUUUUAAAUAUAUACUCAUUUGACUUACCUUGUUAACAUACUUAUCUUUGUGGUAUGCCAUAUGUCAUCUUUUCAUUGCUCUCGCAAACCACACCAGCAUCUGUUAACAAUCAAAUCGAUUAAUGUUUUUUUUUAUAAUUCAAAUUCAACACUUAAUUUUUAGUUUAUCAAACAUCACCUUAAUUUUAACAAUUUCUUUUGAGUUUUCUAUUUUUGAAUGUAUCGAUGUGAUUUCAUUUGGAUUUUAGGAUUAAUUUGAUGAAAGUUAAUUGCUAGUAUUUUUAGCUAAUUAUAAAAUCUUAUCAAAUCAACUUUAAAACUUAAAUUAAGCACUCAAAAUUUAACAUUGUUAUGUUGAUAUGCAUUCUCUUUUCGCUUCCAAAGUGUUGCUAAUUGAAAAUAAUGUUCCAGUGAUUAACAAGUGGUAGUCUUCAGCUUUUGUCGUGCCUUCUGCUUUUCUUCCUUAUGUAGACUUCUCGUUUUCAAAAUCUAGUUAAUUGAUAACCACUCAUUUUUUGUGGAUAGCUUGUGUGCGAACUCGCCCUUCGCAAUGGAUGGUUUGAAUGCAUACCCGUCAUUUUUAGUAAAUGGAUUUUAAGAACUGAAGCAGUGUUUUCCUGUAAGUGUAUAGGGGAUGCUUCUAGAAGAGAUAGAAGGGAUGUAUGGGACAUUAAUUGUGCGGGCUGACUAUUUUAUCUUGGGAAUAUAUAUCAAUGAUGGAAUGAUGCAUGUUAUGUCAUAGUGGGGCACGCGUUAAUCUGUACUUAGGCUUUGUUAAUUGGACGGUAGUCCCUGAAUCUGUCACACUCCAGAAAGUAUUCAAGUACCUUCUUAUGGAUAAAGAGGUGUAGGGUGACAAAGAGUCGGACUUGGAGAAUGGUUUUGAUCAGGGUAAGUUUCCAAGCCUUGGAAUGAAAGUUUCCCCAAUGAUGUAGAGAAGGAAGUUGCCCAAAUCAUCCGAGGAGACAUCCGGAACCCUGGAAUAUUUUAGAAUCCAAAGAAAUAAUACAACGAAACAUUAUUAAUUAUUUGAUAACUCUAAAUUAUAUAGACUUUUUCAACACAUUUUUUUGAGUAA